UACGGAGGGUGCAAGCGUUAUCCGGAUUCACUGGGUUUAAAGGGUGCGUAGGCGGAAUGAUAAGUCAGUGGUGAAAGCCCCGAGCUCAACUUGGGAAUUGCCAUUGAUACUGUUGUUCUUGAGUUCGGUUGAGGUAGGCGGAAUGUUGCAUGUAGCGGUGAAAUGCUUAGAUAUGCAACAGAACACAGAUUGCGAAGGCAGCUUACCAAGCCGACACUGACGCUGAGGCACGAAAGCGUGGGUAGCAAACAGG
rnacentral:rRNA from 1 species